rnacentral:lncRNA from 1 species
CUACUGUAGACCUUCAAUACAAAACAGUGUGUUUUAAUCAGUUAUUUGGUGAAUAUAUUUGGGAUAGUUCUAACUUAAUGUUUUGUUGUUUUUAUUUUGAUGAAAUCCACUGAGGAGGUUGGUCCAACCCUUCCUCCUCCGCGGAGCCUCCACUGAUGUGCACGCCUAGGUUCUUGAAGCUUUUCACCCUCCAAUGCUGCCCUGUUAAUGUGGAUGGGGGCGUGCAAUCUCUGCUGUCUUCCGAAGUCCACAAUCAUCUCCUUUGUUUUGUUGAUGUUGAGGGAGAGGUUAUUUUCCUGGCACCGCUCUGCCAGGGCCCUCACCACCUCCCUGUAGACUGUCUCAUUUUUGAUGGUAGUCAGGCCUAACACUGUUGUGUCGUCUGCGAACUUGAUGAUUGGGUUGGAGACGUGCGUGUCCACGCAGUCAUGGGUGAACAGGGAGUACAGGAGGGGGCUGAGCACGCCCCCUUGUGGGUGGAAUGGUAUCAGAUACAUCAAACACAUGCCAUACCAUUUGCUCCUGUCCAGUCAUUGUUAUGAGCUGUCCUCCCCUCAGUAGCCUCCACUGACCUCUGCCUUUCUUUUUCCUGGAGAGUUAUUUUUUUCCUGUCCCCGCUUGCUGUAUGGACGGGGACAGUAUAUCUGGAAAGAGCCAUGAUUCUGUGAAACAGAUUAUGUUACAGUCCCUGAUGUCUCUCUGGAAGGAGACCAGGAGGGGUUACGAACAGAGAAUCCGAUUCAGGAAAGUCUCAUUUCUGGUCGAAAUGCUGUAUUUGGGCAGUACAUAUGGCUAAGGGAGAGGACAUGCCCUAACAGAGCCCCAGGGACCACCAGGCCUUUGCAGUUCCAACAGUUCCCCCUCGCUCAAGCCAAGUCUCAGCCACUCAGCUCCCUCUCUCUCUGCUCGUUGGCCAAGUGUAAAAUGCUCCAGACCUCCAUGCCGGGUGUCUCUGCCAGCCUAGACAUGCCCAGCGAACAGCACCCAGGCUGUGGAUAAUUAAAUACAACCUCUCCCUGGGGACCUGGUGGGAGGAAUGUGGAUAGGCUGCAAAGCCCGGCUGACAUUUUAGCGAGCCAAUGUUACUGAUAUAAAUCUUGGCAGUUGUCAGAUUUUUUAAAAAGAGGGCUGUGGUGAAGCAAAGUUCCUUCUGUCAUGUCACUACACUGAACAUGGGGGAAAACAAGUAGAUUUGAAUUGACACAAUGCUUAGACCUGUAUUCACUUGAGUUAUUUCGUUUUUUUUCUUAAUGUCAAGGUUGCUAUCUAAUAAAUGAUGGAUGAUAUUUUUCACUUUUGCAAUUCAAAUCAAAUCAAAUUAUAUUCGUCAUACACAGUUUACAGCAGGUAAUCUGUAGCUAUCGUAGCCACAACCAAGUUUAUAGUAUUGUUAAGCAAUAAGUCCCAAG